rnacentral:rRNA from 1 species
GACGGAGGAUGCAAGCGUUAUCCGGAAUGAUUGGGCGUAAAGCGUCUGCAGGUGGCAGUUCAAGUCCGCUGUCAAAGACCGGGGCUUAACUUCGGAAAGGCAGUGGAAACUGAACAGCUAGAGUAUGGUAGGGGCAGAGGGAAUUCCUGGUGUAGCGGUGAAAUGCGUAGAGAUCAGGAAGAACAUCGGUGGCGAAGGCGCUCUGCUGGACCAUAACUGACACUCAGGGACGAAAGCUAGGGGAGCGAAUGGG